CAGCCUGUCCCUUUUGUGUUAGUUUAAGGCACAGUACCUUAAACUAACACUAGAGGGCAGGCUGUUUAAGUAUCUAACACUUCUUGAAC